ACUUUAGGAAGCACCCGCUUGCACCGAAAACAUCGACCUCCCACAAGAAAGCUAGUCGCGUCGCGGAAAGCGAAGGCCUGAAUCCUCAGGAAUCCCUCCUCCAAAAGAGUGCCUGGGACGGCUGCGCUGGUGCAGAUAUACCUACUAAGAAGAUAGAAGACUUACUUUCAUCAUCUGAAUCAAAUCCAAAGAGUGCCUGACAUUUCUUUUGUGCAAGACAUCCCAGUGUGACGCUGCUCCAGAAUCCAGGUCUACACCUCCUGCUCUACCUCUGGCCACUUGGGAGAUUUCCCUUAAAUUGCCUUCUGUCCAGGCAUCUGAAGAAGCUUUUCUUCCCAUUGCCUUCACAAUCAGAUGGCACUCUCUGUGGGAAGAGGUUCAAAGUGUCUCUCGGCAGCUAUGUUCUCAUGCUUUUUUAGCAUAUUUAAUAACUUUUAGUUUAAAGCUUACAGUGUAUGAAAACUGUUUUGACAUUUUCCAAGGGAUUUUUCAAUAAUUUCUCCCACCUAAAAUGUACAGAGAGGAAUGUUGUGCUGUUCACCUUAUGGUAAUAAAGUCGGCAUCACCUAUCUUACCAAGUGGAUAACAAUACAUCACUUUGUUUCAUUUCAUUGAAUCAUUAGCCUAAACUGUUUUCAUUGCAAGUUCAUCAUCAAUUCAACAAAACCAAUUAUCAUUUCCAGGGUAUUAUUUCCCAUAUAGAUAUCAUUACUGCUUUCUAGAG